GGAGCCUGUGAUCUGGCUGUGACAUCUGUUACCCCAUUGGUCGCUAGGGUUGAUUUGACUGAUCUGGCUGGUUAGGCCAGUGUCCCCUUCCUCCCUCACAGUUCCAUGUGUGCCCUCCCGAAGCUGUGCACUGGGUCGAAGAGGUUGACCUUCCCCACUAAAGGAGGACUUUUCUUCAGUCAAGGGUAUAUUAGUAGCUGCACAUCCUGCUAGAACCUCCAGACAAGCUCUCAAGGUAAUAAGCUUUAAAGUCAGAAAGAGAGAGACCUCCAAAUUCAUUCUUCUUUUUUAAGAACUCUGGCUAUUU
ensembl:misc_RNA 7SK 7SK RNA